rnacentral:lncRNA from 1 species
AUGGGAAAUGAGUCUCUCUCUUAUCUGUCCUGUUGUAGAUUUACUGUGCUGUGCUUUUGCUUGGGCUUCAUCUUAAACUCAUCUGACAAGAAACCAUGCUUGUGUAACAAACACAAACGACUUCUGAGUUUGGUUUUACUCUAUGGUGCAGUGGGAACUUGCCAAUGCUAAUGAUACAAUCCAAGGGUAAAUAUCUAGGUAUUUUUUAUAAUUCUUAGUCUUUCAUAAUUGGUCCACCUCCAACUAAUGACA